CGGAGUAUGGCGCAGCCUGAUUAGCGCGCACCCUUGGGGUGGGUGAGGUCGUGGGUUUGAAUCCCGCUACUCCGACCAU
rnacentral:tRNA from 2 species